rnacentral:tRNA from 1 species
AAUAAAGUGCCUGAUAAAAGGGUUACUUUGAUAGAGUAAAUCAUGUAAGUCUAACCUUACCUUUAUUA